GGCGCAGUCUGCGGGCGGGAGGGCGCCGGCGAGGUGGCGAGGGCGGCUGGCGCGGGGGCGCGGGAGCCCCGGCUAAGCCCGGGGACGGGAGGGCGCCCCCUCCCAGCGCCCGAACCCAGGCAACUUCCCGCCGCCCGGGCAGGAGUUUCUCCGUAGCCCACGGACAUCCGGGAGGCUUGUGGAGGGCAGGCGGGUAACCCCCACUCCCACCCCACCUUUAUCCAGGGGCAGCCAGAGGAGCCAGCAGGUCGGGACUCGCUGAGGGGGCUCCACGCGGGGCCUCCCACGCACAGGGACAGCGUCUGCUAUGUUGUCCAGGCUGGUCUCAAAUUCCUUGCCUCAAGCGAUCCAACUGCCUCAGCCUCCCGAGUCACUGGGAUUACAGGCAUGAAGACAUUGUUUUCAAGGGAUCACUCUGCUUUGUGGAGACUAGACUGUGAGGAGCAAGCCUCGAAAGGGGAGAGCUGUUUCGAGGUUCUCCACUGCAGCCUGCUCCACAGCCACGCCCUCCCAUCCAUGGCUACACACUCACAUUCUGGGCCUCUUCCCUGGACCAGAUUGCACAGCAGGGCCGCUCUCUCCAGUGCCUCCAGCUGGCCCCUGCUGACAAGUCCGUGUUGUGUCAUGUUGGGAGUCUGGGCAAGGCACGAGGGCCCCUCUCUAGCAGGUCCCGAUGGCUCCUCCACACCUUCAGGAAAAGCAAGAGAUAAACCAUUGCAUGCUGAGCUCUGCAGGGAACUGGAGGCGGACACCAUCCAUUCUGCAAACCUGCAAUGGUGACACUUCUGGAAUCUCCUUGCCUCUUCCAGGGCUGCAGCCUCUAAGGCAGGUAAGACCCAGGCCAGGUUGGCUCAGGGACCUCUGUGUAGCAUUGCUGACCUCAUGUUAUGGAAGCAGGAGGCCACUGUGAGAUGCGGGGCUUAGCUGCCACCUUGGAGAAACAGCUCAUUUGAGACAGCCAGGAGCAAUUUAAUCAGGCUAAGUUGGCCUGGCCCUGGGACCCCUGCCUUUUCCAUGACAGCAGCGUCUGCUGAAAGCACAUCAGAGCCCACACUUGCAAGUUCAAAGAUGUCUGUCCCCAAGGUCUCAACCAGGGAUGGCAUCUUCUUCUUGGGGCACUUAGCAUUUUGAGACUCUGGGAGAGUCCCCUGUGGGAACUGGGUGUACUGACACUGUGGAACCAAGGAAGCACCACGGCUGCAGAGAGACCCUGGGCCAGACCAUCCAAAUGAAGCCCAGGCACAGCAGAGGGCUCUGAGGAGGCGCAGGAUGCAGGAGAUGAAAGGGGAAAAUGAAGGGGAGCCGCAGGUUCAAACUGCCCCUUCCCAGGAGUGAGCUACAGCUUGGCCACUUCUGUCUCAUAAGAAGGAGGUUGUGACUUUGGGAGGUGGAGGGGGAUUACAGCUGGGAUUCCUGUUGCCUGCCUCCUGCCUCUGGGGCUCUCAGCUUUCUCUUCUCCCCAGGACUCUUUUCUUCCUCUCCCCCCACCUCCCCCCCCACUCCCCUCCUCCCCCUAGGUCCUGGCUCUCCCUCCCCGACCCGGUCUUCUUGGUACCAGCUAAGCCCUGGAGGGGCCACAGCCUCCCCUCCAGCCCCCCUGCCAUGGGAUGGCUGCUGUCUCCUUUGGAUCUUUUUGCGGUCUGGGCUUGCUGUUCCUCUCAACAGUAGUCAGGAAGCCCUUACCCCAAAAAGUAUCUGCGGGAGGCCUUGUCCACAGGGGAGGCUGCCCCAAGGGCUCCAGGUGAGUCACAGCAAACCCAAGAACAGUGAAUGGAACUGGGGUCUCCUGGCUCUCCUUUAGAGUUGCUGAGUGACUUUAAGUCCAGCACUGAGCCUCUCUGGGCCUCACUUAUGCCACUCUUUUCAUCAUUUACCAGUGGGCAAUGUCAAGUGAGAGACUCCACAGAUAAGAAAAAUAAAGGAGUGGCUCAAUUACAUGCCAGGGAAAACCGCUUUGGUGGAUGAAGGUCACACAGCUCUCCCAGCAUUCUGUCCUCUGUAUACAGAUGAUCUCCUUCUGAAAUCCUUUUGGGGAUGACCCCCUUCCACACCAUGGACACUUCUGGGUGGGUUGUCACUCAAGAGGUCCUGCCCUCUUCUGCCCACUGGGUGGACACAAGAAUUGAAAUCUGUAAAGGAUACUGAGAUUGGGAACAAAAUAAUUGAUGCUGAUUGAUCCCAGCAGUGUAUGGCGAGAAGAUGACAAGCUUCCACUGCCUGUAUCACUGACUUGCCUAAUGUCUGCCCUGCCCUGGCCUGGAUCUUAACCGCGCCCUUCAUUCUGUGAACUACCCCCAAAUCCUUCAAAUAAAGUCCUUGAUUGCUUGUUAGAGUCAAUAAUAUUGCUUGCUGAGGAUCCAGAGACCUCUAGAGAGAGGAGGUGGAAUUGCACACCCUGGGAAAGAGGAAGGUGUGAGUUACCAUCCCUGGGGGAGGCCCCACAGGUGUCAGCCCUCAGGGGGCAGGGGACUGACAGGGGACAGAGCUGACAGCAGGGGUCAUAUACAAGAGUUGGGUUGGGGGCCUAAGGAAACUUCCCCAAAGGUGAGAACCAUGUUGGGAUAAAGGACAGAGGAGGACCUAUAUGAUAUGGAGAGAAGUGAAAUACAGCUAAGUGGGGUCCUCACCUCUAAAGAGGCCAGGGGCCGGGCACAUCUGUAAUCCCAGCACUUUGGGGAGCCGAGGUGGACAGAUCACUUGAGGUCAGGAGUUCAAGACCAGCCUGGCCAACAUGGUGAAACCCCGACUCUUACUAAAAAUACAAAAAUUAGCUGGGCAUGGUGGCGCAAGUCUGUAAUUGCAGCUACUUGGGAGGCUGAGGCAGAGAAUCGCUUGAACCAAGGAGACAGAGGUUGCAAUGAGCCGAGACUGCGCCACUGCACUCCAACCUGGGUGAGAGAGCAAGACUCCAUCUAAAUAAAUAAAUAAAUGGGGCAGAAAACAGGUUAUGCCAAUUACAGGUUGUUGUAGAUUCCCAGUCCCUCCUCCUCAUGCCGGAUAGCUGGGGGAUCGACACUGCAGCCGCGGUGAGGCCACGGCAGGUCAGGAAUGACCACACGGACAUCCAUCUUGUUGUCCACCACUGACAAUGAGACGGAUGACCAGGCUCCCGAGUGCCGAGUGCCGUAGUGCUCUGCGGCCAGGAAAUGGCCAGGGGCCAGGGACCCUCCUUAUCUGGAAUCCUCCCACUCGGCCCUGGGGUGGCCACUUGUGCCGAGACAGCCCAAGGUUGGGGGCGUGGCAUCAGGCCUCCCCAAGGCCUUUACUGCUGCAGAGCCACAGCCCUCAAGAAACAAGGCCCCUGGAAGAUUCCUUCCCUAAGCAGAAGCUGCUGGAGGCCAUUUUAAGGCAAUAUGUGAGCUGGCGUGUCGCCUGCAACUGAGUUCAGAGGUGCUAAAGGAUCCUGAGUGGGGCUGGGGGUUUGCUGUGGAGGUUCAGGAAGAAAGGCUGGGUUUACGGGUCCAGGAACAAUUACUGCAGGUUUGUGAGGCCAACCGAGCCCCCACUAGGUGACAGCCAGACAGCAGUGGGAGAAGGGACGAUGGCGACGAGCAAAACGGCACGGCUGAAUAAUACCUGUGACCACGGGAGCUCCUGCCCCUGAUGCUAUCCUGACCCUCCCCAUCCCACCCAGCUGCAAAGCAGUUGUUGCUCUGCCACCUGCUGCCAGCAUGCGGGUGGGAAUGCGUGUGCAGCUCAAGGGUGGCAUCGUGUGGUCAUAGUGGGGUAGUGCACCUCACAGCUUCCAAAGAGCUUCAUUCUGCGGAGUCACUCAAGGAAUUUUGAGUCUAUGUGCCAGACUCUGUUCUAGGACUGCAAGAUCUUUCCUAACAGAAUCAGAGUUUUUGUGAGGAGCAGUCUUGAGGGGUGCAGAGCCUGAGAGGGGAAGGGGAGAAGAGAAGGAGAGAAGGAGAGAAGGAGGGGAGGUGGGAGGGGGAGGGUUGCUAGAGCCCCUUGGUGAGCGUGUCUACAGCCAGACUGCUCUAGGGCACCUUUCAAAGUGGCUUCUGGGUCCACAUCUCAGGCAUUUGACGACUUAACCCUUUGCAUGAGCCUCGCAAAUUGCAACUCAAAUCCCUGCCACCCUAGAGAACCUAUUCCCUCCAGAGGGAGAGGGACUCAGGAGAGGCACUAUUCCAAAAAGGCUCCUGUUCCCAAUGUUAAAGGAAAGAACCCAGACUUCAGAAUCAAUCCGAUCUGGAUUCAAAUCUCAGGUUGUCCCUGCGCCAGCUAUGUGGCCUCAGGAAAGUCCUUAGCCCUCUCUGUGCCUCGGUGUCCUCAUCUGUAAAACAGGGAAAAUCAUGCCCCUCUGACAGGGCGGUGGGUUCUAGUCAGUGAAAUAAUGUCAGGACAAUGGAUGGUCCCCACCAUAAAAAGCAAGGCCCCCGAUUCUGUGUCCAGGGGUAUCAGCUCUGGGGGGCAUCUGCUUGGCUGCUCAUGAGUGGCUGUCUUUCCACAGCUGUGUGGAUGUGUCUGGCAUUUAGCAGUCGGUUGUCUGAAAUCAGCCAUGGAGUUUUGCCCCCUGCUUUAUUGCUCCCAAGCAGGUUCCUCACCUGCCGAGCGCCUGCGGCUGUGUGCCAAAGGCUGAGUGCGCCACAGCGAGGAGCAGCUGCCAGACCUGGAGUGAGCAGAGGGAGAAACUGGACUUCAGAAUAAUCAGAGCUGGAUGCUAAUCUCAGGUCCCACCUGCACUAGCUGUGUGGUCUCGGGAGAGUCUUACGGGUGGGAAGGACCAGGGCCUUGUGGGCUGAGAGGCUUGGGGAAGCCAGGGGGAGCCAGGUCCCCUCACUGCUCUCGAAGAACCGGCAGUGGUGUUGGAACUCCCAGAGCUGGAGAGGCUCAGGCCGGGAAGGGCUGUCCUGACCUGCGGGCCAUCAUGGCCUUUCGGGGAGGGAGGGAGGAGAUGAAGAGGUGGCACAGAAUUGACAAAGGAAAGGCAGGAAUGAAAAGGAAGGUGGGGGAAUGUGGAAGGCAAAAUGAGAAGUCUCUCCGGGUGGCUGAUGUCACCCUUUCUGAUUGCUCGAGGUGCCAGCAGGGGCACCUUGGCAAGGUGUCCCCUCUCCCAGGAGGCUGAGACCAGGAUCUGAUCCAAGCUGGGCCACCUGGAGAGAGUGGCCUGAACUAGUCUCCAUCAUGCUCUGGGCCUGGGUUUCUGCAUUUGUAAAAUGAGAGGAAUGUGCUGGAUCAGAUACAAUCUCCUCUCCCACCAGGCCCACCCCACACUCGGCAGGAAAGCAAGGACUGGGGCCCCAACAGCUGUCCUUGAGAGUGGGAGCCGCUGAGGGCACAGGAAGGAGUUUUGGGGGCGGCAGGCAGGGAAGCAAGCAGGAUGGGAACGCCAGGCUCUCAGGGGAAGGAACCAGAUAAAUCAUCAGCAAGGAAAACCUAUAGGUUUCCCCAAAGUACAAUUUGAAUAGAAAUGUCAAAUGCACCUGGAGUUAUUACACCCUGUAAUCCUAAUGACAUAUAAUCCUAUACACCAACAGGAUAAUAUCACGAGUGUGUGUGGCAACACUGCCGCAUGUUAAUCCUGCCUGCCUCCUGGGAUGAUCUUUCUCAUCCCAGCAGAGCCUACAGAGCCUCCUUUGUUCUUCCCAGAAGUGGCCUCAUCGGGCUGGACCUGGGGGAGGUGACCAAGGAAGUGAAAAUCAAAGAGCCCAAGGAAUGAAGCUGGCAUGGCGCUAGUCAGGGGAUGGACAGGUGUGGUUUGGUGCUUUCAUUUUUUGCCUAAUCUGGAUGCAUCCUAAGUCCCCUGGAAGUUGCCAGCCCCACAUCAGCAUCUGUGUUGAGGACCCUCUUCUCUCCCCGCCUACCCCCGCCCCUAACCCUUUCCUUCUCUCUCAUUCUUCCUUUCCUGUAUCCUUCCCUUUCUUCCCCAGCAUCUAUGCUCUGUUCUGCCAGGAGCACUCUCGGAGAUAUGGUUCGUCCUCUUGAGAGGGAAAGCCUCCUGGGACUCGCGUGCACCCGUCCUGUCCAGCUGCGCUCCUUAGUUGCGGGCCCUGGAGCCAGGGAAGGUGGGAGUGGACUUUCGCCUGAGGCAGCAGCUGCGUGGUUAGUGGUCUGUGGCCAGGGGGGCAUUUCAAGGUAGGGCACAGAACUUCCAGGCCAGUGCACCAGCCCAAAAUAGAGCCCUGGUUGGCUUUAUCUACCGUGUAGCCUGUGCUGGUCCCCAUGACAUAAGCUUCUUUUGCUGUGAGACAGGAAAUCUCUUUCUAGGCUCCUGGGGAGAUGAGAUUUUUCAGGUCAAAGUCUCAGAGUCAUUCACACAAUCCAGGAAUCUCUUCCCAAACUCCAUACUCCUAUGCUCGGCCCUCCAAGGCAGUGAUUCUCGAAGUAGGAACCACUUCAAGACCAGCAGCUCAGCACUACCAGGGAUCUUAUUAGAAAUGCAAAUUCUGCCAGGUGCGAUAGCUCACACCAGUAAUCCCAGCACUUCGGGAGGCCGAGGGGGCAGAUCACUUGAGGUCAGGAGUUUGAAACCAGCCUGGCCAACAUGGUGAAAUCCUGUCUCUACGAAAAGUACAAAAAUUAGCUGGGCAUGAUGGCGCAUACCUGGAGUCCCAGCUACUCAGGAGGCUGAGGCAGGAGAAUCGCUUCAACCCAGGAAGCGGAGGUUGCAGUGAGCUGAGGUUGCACCACUGCACUCCAGCCAGGACGACAGAGCAAGACUCCAUCUCAAAAACAAAAACAAAAAAAAAAAAAACAGAAAUGCAAAUUCUUAGAUCCCAGUGCCAAGGGUGGCUGGAGACAGUUUGUAACAUCUCAGGAGAACCAAUUGCACAUGUCUCUUUCCUAACUCCACAUUUAGUGACCAUCACACUGGGGGCUUGAAAUCAACCACGGUGAGAGUGUUUACACUGUGGAACAUUACAAAUCAGUGCUCAUUUUUCUUUCUGAAAGCCCAUUGUUAAACAGUUUCCAGCACACCACUGGACCCUACCCAGACCUACUGAACCAGAGCCCUGAAGGUGGAACCCCACAAUCUGUGUUUCAAUAAGCUUUCCAGGUGAUUCUGAUGCACAUUCAAGUUUGAGAAUCACUGUUCCCAUGGGCCAGCUCUAGUGGUAUCAUAAGAAAGAAAGGAAUGUGGGGGUGCCCAAGGAGUAGGAUUUCACAAGGAAACUUUGGAAAAGGUAAAGAAAGAAGAGAGAAAGUAAACUAGGCCCUGGGGCCUUCCUCCAGGCAAAGAGGCAACCAGGCACUUGGCAGGAAAUACCCCUGGACGGAGAUGAGACCUGCAGCCCCAGGGAAUGGAAGGAGGAAAGAGAAUCUGGUGAGUAGGUGGGAUGCAGCCAACGUCAAAUAGUCAUUUUUCCACGUAUCCAGAUGAGGGAGAUGGCGUCAAUUACUCUAAGUCAUGAGAUCGGAAGGGCACAGGAUAAUUGGCUGGAAAAAUGCUCCUUUGGGUGCAUAUUUCUGUAACAAAGAAAAACACAUUUAUGAGCAUUUGUUUUGUUUGUUUGAGGCAGGGUCUCACUCAGUCACCCAGGCUGGAGUGCAGUGGCACGAUCAUGGCUCACAGCAGCCUCAAACUCCUGGGCUCAAGCAAUCCUCCUGCCUCAGCCUUCCCAGUAGCUGGGGCUACAGGUGCACACCACCAUGCCUGGCUAAGUUUUGUAUUUUUGGUAAAGACAAGGUCUCACUAUCUUGACCAGGCUGGUUUUGAAUUCCUGGGCUAAAAGGAUUCUCCCACCUCAGCCUCUCAAAGUGCUUGGAUUACACGUGUGAGCCACCAUGCCUAGCCAUGAGCAUUUCACUGAAGAUAGAAGGAAGAGAAAUCCUACGAAGUGUUUUUCAGGGAAGGGAUGAAAAUGGAAAAUCCUAGCAAAUGCUCAUUACUACUCAUGUAAAUGUGUGCAAAAUGCCACUGGAAUUUUCUUUCCUUUUUUCCGUUGUGAAAUAUUUCAAACAUAUAGAAAAAGACAAGGAGUAAUAUAACAAAAGCCUUGUACCUACCACCAGAAAUAGCAAGUGCUACCAUUUUGCCACAUUUAUGUCAGAUCAUUUUUUAAAAGAAAUGAGACAGCCCAGGCACAGUGGCUCAUGCCUGUAAUCCUAGCACCUUGGGAGGCCGAGGUGGGAGGAUUGCUUGAGCCUAGGAGUUUAAGACCAACCUGGGCAGCAUAGCAAGACCCCAUCUCUACAAAAAACAAAAAAUUAAUGGGGUAUGGUUGUUCGUGCCUGUUUCAGCUACUCAGGAGGCUGAAGUGGAAGGACUGCUUGAGACUGGGAAGUUGAGGCUGCAGUGAGCCAUGAUCACGCUGCUACACUCCAGCCUAGGCAACAAAGUGAGACCCUGUCAAAAAAAAAAAGGAAAAGAGGAAAGAAGAAAUAGAGAAAGAGAGAAGAAAGGAGAAAGAAAGAAAGAAAGUAAGAAAGAAAGAAAAAAGGAAGAAAAAGAGGAAGAAAGGAAGAAAAAAAGAAAAAAGGAAGAAAAAGAAGAAGAAAGGAAGAAAAAAAGAAAGAAAGAAAGAAAAAAGAAAGAAGGAAGGAAGGAAGAGAGAGAGAGAAAGAAAGAAAAAACCUUACAGACACAGUUGAAGUCUUUGUGCCCCUUUUCCUUCCUCCAACUGUCCUGAAGUUGGUAGGUAUUCUCACACUGGUGCUCAUACUUUACCAUAUAUGUAUUACUCGUAAAUUACACCUAGCAUUGCUUUGAGUGCUUCUUAAUUUAUGUAAGUGAUGUCACACUAAACCCACCAUUCUGGAACCUACUUUUUUUUCAGCUAAAUUGUGUUUCCAAGAUCGGUCCAUGUUGAUGCAUGAUACAUUCAUUUUUACUGCUGAAUAACAUGAAACUGUACAAAGAUACCACAAUCCAUCCACUCACCUACUAAUAGACAUUUGUUUCCAGUUUUUCACCAUCACAAAUGAUUCUGCAGUGGACAUCCUUGAACAUGCUUCUGUAGAGUAGACCCCUACAAGUGGUGUUGCUGGGCCGCAGGGAAGAUGCGUUCCAGUUAUUAGACAUGCUGUCAAUUUACUCGCUAGCUUGGCUGAGCCAGUUCACGCUUGUGCCAGCAGCAGACAAAACAACUGAAAAUGUUAUUUAUUCAGUGUGCUCUUGGAUUGGGCUCUCUUCUGAAUGCAAAACCAAUUAUAAGGAUUUUCUCUAGUUCGUUCCCGACCUUUGUUCUCCAAUUCUACUUUCCCUUAAAGUCUUAAAUUCUUUAGCCAUAAAUUCUUCUACAACUAGGGUUUUCCAGAAUCUGACCUAGUGGCCAAGAAGAAAUGACUGGUAUGUGUGUUACAGGAUGGAGUCGGGUAUGUGUGUGUAUGUGUGUGUGUGUCUGUGUUUGUAGCUUUGUACCAAAGCCAACAAGAAAGAACUGGAAGGACAAGACUUUCCAUAGCAUCUUUUAAAUGAUGCAUCAAACCCAGGAAAGAGGGGUAACCAGUGUGACCCAGAAUCCACUCUCAAGCUAUAGGUCCUUUCCUCCCCCUCUUAUUUGUUGGGGGUCAAGGGGGAGUUGUCCCAGGACAUUACUCUGUGGCUCCAUCUUCCCUGCUCCCCAAACCCACCAGACUCCAGACACUUCUCUAAGCUGUGUAAACCUAGGGGUGAGGGAAAGAGGUACUCUGUGCAGAGGAGGGGCAGCCCCAUGUGUUCAUCUGGGGUAAAGGGCUGACUUUUGGCCCCAGGCCUAAGAGCUCUCUGUCCAUGCCAAAGAUUCCUCCUGCAUCUGGGCCUGUGGGGUUGGGAGAGCUGCCAAAAUCCUAGACUGGGCAGUGACAGUGGAGAGCCUAUAUCUUGGCCACUGAGCCGAUUCCUCAGCCCCAGGACCAUACAGAAGUUGUCUGGAAUUCCUUCCCUCACAGGCCCUGAAGCAGGAGCCUCCAAGGCCUCUGAAGUUGACUUGAGAAAAGGGGAUGGGGGGAUAAGGAGGGGGAUAGGGAUUCAAGGGACCACCACAAAGUUGCCUAGCUCAAACCAAAGACAUUUCAAGAGGCAGGAACCUGAAGUGAAUGAAAAAGCACAAUUCACAGUUAAGCGAGAGUAGGGAGGGCCCUGACCCAAAGACUAUUUUUGUGUUUUUUGUUUGUUUUUUAGGGUUUUUUUGAGAUAGGGUCUCACUCUGUCACCCAGGCUGGAGUGCAGUGGUGCAAUCACAGCUCACUGCAGCCUCCACUUCCGAGGCUCAAGCAAUCCUCCUGCCUCAGCCUCCCCAUAGCAGGGACCACAGGCACACACCACCACACCCGGCUAAUUUUUAAAUUUUUUUGUAGAGAAGGGAUCUUGCUAUGUUGCCCAGGCUGGUUCAAACUCCUGGGCUCAAGCAAUCCUCCUGCCUUGGCCUCCCAAAGUGCUGGGAUUACAGGAGUGAGCCACUACUCCUUUCUUUCUUUCCAACAGAAAGACUAUUUUUGGAUGGGAUUUCUCCCCCAGCAAACACUUGAAGUGUGACCUACAGGAGUUGUUUGUUUGGAGGGGGGCAUUUGUCCUUUAUCAAAAAGAUGAAACCUGGUUGGGUGUGAGUUUCUUGCCUGUAAUCCCAGCACUCUGGGAGGCUGAGGCAGGAGGACUGCUUGAGGCCAGGAGUUUAAGACCAGCCUGGGCAACAUAGGGAGACCCUGUAUCAACAACAACAAAAAAUUAAAAAUUAGCCAAGCAUGGUGGUGCACACCUGUAGUCCCAGCUACUCAGGAGGCUGAAGUGGGAGGAUCUCUUGAGCCCAGGAGAACGAGGCUGCAGUGAGCCAUGAUCACACCACUGCACUUCAGCCUGGGCAAGAGAGUGAGACCGUAUCCCAAAAAGGAAAACGAUAAAGCAUGAACAUCUUGGCGUCCUUGUUCCACAGACUCCUUUUGGCCCAGAACAGUCUGCCCUUUGGGCAGCAGGUGGCUUGCUUCAGCCUGGAGGCCAGGAGGCCUACUCAGGCGCCCAGGGCGAUUCACCAAGGGACCUCACCUCUGAGCCCCGCCUACCACCCAAUGAGGACGCGCGGACAUGACGUCACUGCAUCCUGUUGCCCAGCCCAGACCAGGAGAAUGGGACAAGCUGGAGAAAAGAGCCAGUGGAAGUGCCAGAUGCCAAGAGAGAAGUUGGGGGAAAAAAUGGUGGAGGGCAAAUGAGUCAGCAGCAAGUUUAAGCAAUGAACCAUUGCAUCACGGGGUGUUUCUCAAAUUCUUGUCUACUUUUAGAAAAAGUACGCAAUGACAUUCAGUGGGCAUCUUGAUUCUGAAAUAGCUAAAGAAAAUGUUAAAAAUGCAGUGGGUGAAGAUGUGCCCACAUUAACCUCUUUUCUAAAACAACAGUUGACAAUUGUGCUACAUGUCCUUAAGCAAAUCUUUUAGCCUGCCUGUUCCUUAGUUUCCUCAUCUGUGACAUGAGGGGAAUGUAUGAAAAAUAUCUCUGGAGAUUCCUUCCAGUCUAACAUUCUGUGGUUUGAUGAUUGAUACUAUGCUCACAUUCUUAAUACUCAGGCUGUGUCUACACAGUGCCAAGACAACUAGCUAAUUCAGUGAGUAUGGACAAAAUGUUCUUCCAAUCAAUUCUUUGGCACGCUGUAGACAAAUUGGCACUUCUUUUCAUUUUACAACUGGUUGCUCCGGCUUCUUCUUGACCAGUGCUUCUUCAAUGGUGGUAUCCUGACAUGCUGUAUGCCUGGAGCACUUAGGAGGUGUGUCCUAGGCAGUUGGCUAUGGAUAAUGAACUGUUGAGGUUCUCAAAUCGUUGAUGACUUUUUUUUAAUCAAUUAGAACAGAUUCAAUAUGGUCCUAUAGUAAUGCCCCUGCUGCUUAGUUGCAAUCCGAUAUGCCUCCCUGAAAGGAAGAAGUGGUGGAAUUACAGCUGCCGGACAGAGACUGCCUGUAGCCCUGACCCUGUUGGAUGCCCAUGGGAGGGUGUCAUGUGUUGUGCAUGUGAAUGUCAUUUAUCAUCUGCAACACAGCACUUGAGAAUGACUGAUGGAAACCCCUGAGACAUGGUCGGACAUCAAGGCACUGGAGACUCAGGCCCUGGAGAAAUCUGAGCCAGCAUCCUAUGACGCAGGGCCCAAAGCAGGAUGGAGAUAAAGAUGCCCAGAAGAAACCAAAGCCUUCUUGGGGGAAACUGUAAGAAGUCAGGAGGGAAUUCUUUAUUAGAAAUUGAAGAUCCCGCUGGGCGUGGUGGCUCAUGCCUGUAAUCCCAGCACUUUGGGAGGCCGAGGUGGACAGAUCACCUGAGGUAGAAGUUCGAGACCAGCCUGGCCAACAUAGCAAAACCCCAUCUCUACUAAAAAUACAAAAAUUAGCCGGGCGUGAUGGCACGCACCUGUAAUCCCAGCUACUCAGGAAGCUAAGGCAGGAGAAUCACUUGAACUUGGGAGGUGGAGGUUGUAGUGAGCCAAGAUGGCGCCAUUGCACUCCAGCCUAGGCAACAAGAGCGAGACUCCAUCUCAAAAAAAAAAAAGAAAAAGAAAAGAAAAGAAAAAAAAAGAAAGAAAGAAGUUGAAGAUCAAAGCUGGAGACCAGGACUCUUGACAAAUCUGACCAGAUUUGAAACACACCUAAGAAAUGUAAGACUCAAUUAAUUCUACAUGAGCCUAAGAAUUAAACCAAAUAAAGAAUGACAACACAAGUAAUGAGGAUACUGGCUUAUGCCUAGGUGUUUGUAUUUCUUUAGGUCUAACUCCAACUGUAUAUCCUAUUUUAAAUUAAUAUUUGUUAUUCUUUGUUUUUUGUUAUUUUAAUAAAAAGCUCUAUUUAAAUGUAUUUAAAUAACAUUAGCCAGAUGUGGUGGCUCAUGCCUGUAAUCCCAGCACUUUGGGAGGCUGAGGCAGGUGGAUUGCUUGAGCUCAGGAGUUUGAGGACAGCCUGGCCAACAUGAUGGAACCACGUCUCUACAAAAAUACAAAAAUUAGCCAGGCAUGG
rnacentral:lncRNA from 1 species